GCCCCUAUGGCGUAGUGGUAGCGCGUGUCACUUGUAUCAAUGGCAAGAUCAUGACAAGGUCUCUCGUUCGAUCCGGGAUGGGGGCA
rnacentral:tRNA from 1 species